GGGGAGGAGGAGGGGUGAAGGUUUUGGUGGGGAGUCAAGGACAGGGAUUCUGCAUCAUGGGAAUAGAGUCCUACAGCACGUCUGUGGUGAUCGUCUCACCCAGGGACCACACAAACCUUGCACUUCGCCGUUACUCCCCAAACUAGGCCCAUGGCAAACCACAGCAGUCAGUCACCGCACUCCCGCUGCGCCCUGACACAGCUCCAGGAUCCUUCUUUUCUUUUUUUUUUUUUUUUUAAGAUUUUAUUUAUUUAUUU